UACGUAGGGUGCGAGCGUUGUCCGGAAUUAUUGGGCGUAAAGAGCUUGUAGGUGGUUUGUCGCGUCUGCUGUGAAAAUCCGAGGCUCAACCUCGGACUUGCAGUGGGUACGGGCAGACUAGAGUGUGGUAGGGGAGACUGGAAUUCCUGGUGUAGCGGUGAAAUGCGUAGAUAUCAAGAGGAAUACCUGAGGUGAAGACGGGUUGCUAGGCCGACACUGACGCUGAAGCGCGAAAGCCAGGGGAGCAAACGGG
rnacentral:rRNA from 1 species